rnacentral:rRNA from 1 species
CCUACGGGUGGCAGCAGUGGGGAAUAUUGGGCAAUGGGCGCAAGCCUGAACCAGCAACGCAGCGUGAAGGAAGAAGGCUCUCGGGUUGUAAACCUCUUUUUAUAGGGACGUAGCAAGUGACGGUACUUGAGGAAUGAGUCACGGCUAACUACGUGCCAGCAGCCGCGGUAUUACGUAGGUGGCAAGCGUUCUCCGGAUUUACUGGGUGUAAAGGGCGUGUAGGCGGGUACGUAAGUCAGAUGUGAAAUCAAGGGGCUCAACCUUUAUCCUGCAUUUGACACUGUGUUUCUUGAGUACUGGAGAGGCAGACGGAAUUCGUGGUGUAGCGGUGAAAUGCGUAGAUAUUACGAAGAACACCGGUGGCGAAGGCAGUCUGCUGGACAGCAACUGACGCUGAGGCGCGAAAGCGUGGGGAUCAAACAGGAUUAGAUACCCGUGUAGUC